rnacentral:rRNA from 1 species
GACGAACGCUGGCGGCGUGCCUAAUACAUGCAAGUAGAACGCUGAAGAGAGGAGCUUGCUCUUCUUGGAUGAGUUGCGAACGGGUGAGUAACGCGUAGGUAACCUGCCUUGUAGCGGGGGAUAACUAUUGGAAACGAUAGCUAAUACCGCAUAACAAUGGAUGACACAUGUCAUUUAUUUGAAAGGGGCAAUUGUUCCACUACAAGAUGGACCUGCGUUGUAUUAGCUAGUAGGUGAGGUAAUGGCUCACCUAGGCGACGAUACAUAGCCGACCCGAGAGGGUGAUCGGCCACACUGGGACUGAGACACGGCCCAGACUCCUACGGGAGGCAGCAGUAGGGAAUCUUCGGCAAUGGGGGCAACCCUGACCGAGCAACGCCGCGUGAGUGAAGAAGGUUUUCGGAUCGUAAAGCUCUGUUGUAAGUCAAGAACGGGUGUGAGAGUGGAAAGUUCACACUGUGACGGUAGCUUACCAGAAAGGGACGGCUAACUACGUG